UGGGGAAUUUUGGACAAUGGGGGCAACCCUGAUCCAGCCAUUCCGCGUGAGUGAAGAAGGCCUUCGGGUUGUAAAACUCUUUCGGCAGGAACGAAACGGUGGUUACUAAUAUUAGCCACUAAUGACGGUACCUGAAGAAGAAGCACCGGCUAACUACGUGCCAGCAGCCGCGGUAAUACGUAGGGUGCGAGCGUUAAUCGGAAUUACUGGGCGUAAAGCGUGCGCAGGCGGUUUUGUAAGACAGAUGUGAAAUCCCCGGGCUUAACCUGGGAACUGCGUUUGUGACUGCAAGACUCGAGUGUGGCAGAGGGGGGUGGAAUUCCACGUGUAGCAGUGAAAUGCGUAGAGAUGUGGAGGAACACCGAUGGCGAAGGCAGCCCCCUGGGUUAACACUGACGCUCAUGCACGAAAGCGUGGGUAGCAAACAGG
rnacentral:rRNA from 1 species